GUGUGCCGCAGCAAUGCGGUCUCAGCAAAGAGUCCCUCCCGACUGUUUACCAAAAACACAGCACUUUGCCAACUCGUAAGAGGAAGUAUAAGGUGUGACGCCUGCCCGGUGCUCGAAGGUUAAGAGGAUGCGUCAGUCGCAAGAUGAAGCGUUGAAUUGAAGCCCGAGUAAACGGCGGCCGUAACUAUAACGGUCCUAAGGUAGCGAAAUUCCUUGUCGGUUAAAUACCGACCUGCAUGAAUGGCGUAACGAGAUGGGAGCUGUCUCACCAGAGAUUCAGUGAAAUUGUAGUGGAGGUGAAAAUUCCUCCUACCCGCGGCAAGACGGAAAGACCCCGUGGACCUUUACUACAACUUAGCACUGCUAAUGGGAAUAUCAUGCGCAGGAUAGGUGGGAGGCUUUGAAGUAAGGGCUUUGGCUCUUAUGGAGCCAUCCUUGAGAUACCACCCUUGAUGUUUCUGUUAGCUAACUGGCCUGUGUUAUCCACAGGCAGGACAAUGCUUGGUGGGUAG
rnacentral:rRNA from 1 species